AACAAGGCGUACCUGCGGACCUGCGGAAGGAUCAUUACGAGAGUGUCACCACUCCCAACCCAUUGUUUACCUACCCGUCCACCGUGCUUCGGCAGGCAGCCCUGUGGGACAGGGCCCCGCCUCCCCUCGCGGGGGGUGCCUGCCGCUGGCCAACCAAAAUUCUAGCUGUUUUUGUAACAUCUGAGUCUUCCACAAAUAAACAAAACUUUUAACAACGGAUCUCAGAUCGGAAGAGCACAC
rnacentral:misc_RNA from 1 species